rnacentral:rRNA from 1 species
UACAGAGGGGGCAAGCGUUGUUCGGAAUUACUGGGCGUAAAGGGCGCGUAGGCGGCCUUCUAAGUCGAACGUGAAAUCCCCGGGCUCAACCCGGGAACUGCGUCCGAUACUGGAAGGCUUGAAUCCGGGAGAGGGAUGUGGAAUUCCAGGUGUAGCGGCGAAAUGCGUAGAUAUCUGGAGGAACACCGGUGGCGAAGGCGACAUCCUGGACCGGUAUUGACGCUGAGGCGCGAAAGCGUGGGGAGCAAACAGG